GGGAUUCGAUUAGAGUUUGAUUCUGGCUCAGAACGAACGCUGGCGGCAGGCUUAACACAUGCAAGUCGAACGCCCCGCAAGGGGAGUGGCAGACGGGUGAGUAACGCGUGGGAAUCUACCGUACCCUACGGAAUAACGCAUGGAAACGUGUGCUAAUACCGUAUACGCCCUACGGGGGAAAGAUUUAUCGGGGUAUGAUGAGCCCGCGUUGGAUUAGCUAGUUGGUGGGGUAAAGGCCUACCAAGGCGACGAUCCAUAGCUGGUCUGAGAGGAUGAUCAGCCACAUUGGGACUGAGACACGGCCCAAACUCCUACGGGAGGCAGCAGUGGGGAAUAUUGGACAAUGGGCGCAAGCCUGAUCCAGCCAUGCCGCGUGAGUGAUGAAGGUCUUAGGAUUGUAAAGCUCUUUCACCGGAGAAGAUAAUGACGGUAUCCGGAGAAGAAGCCCCGGCUAACUUCGUGCCAGCAGCCGCGGUAAUACGAAGGGGGCUAGCGUUGUUCGGAAUUACUGGGCGUAAAGCGCACGUAGGCGGAUAUUUAAGUCAGGGGUGAAAUCCCAGAGCUCAACUCUGGAACUGCCUUUGAUACUGGGUAUCUUGAGUAUGGAAGAGGUAAGUGGAAUUCCGAGUGUAGNGGUGAAAUUCGUAGAUAUUCGGAGGA
rnacentral:rRNA from 1 species